CUCGGUGCUGAGUGAACGAGCGCCACGUGGCUCUUGGCCACUUCUGGCUAGCCUGGUUGUCCCCAAGCUGCAAGGUGAUGGUGAGACCGCGGCUUAGCUUUUCUUCAUGCUCCGGAGGAUUCUAGAAAACAAUACAGCCUACCAAGGUCUAGGCCUUGUGGCUUAGUCCAGGACACUAUCAUUCAUUCAUUCAUUCAUUCAUUCAUUCAUUCUUUUGUGCAUAAUUAGGGGUGGUGGGGCGCAUGUGCUGCGCAUCUGGGCAUGUCAAGGAUAAUUUUCUGGAGAAGGUUCUCUUCUUCCACUCUAAGUUACAGGGACUGAACACGGACCCCCAAGCUUGCAUGACAAGUGCUUUUAUUCACUCGGUCAUCUCACCCAAUCAGUUGUGCGCAUUUUUCCAUUCUGCAGGUAACUGCUCUUGUUUUAUAAAUGGGAAGGCAUUUUGUAAGUGAGUGUUUUGUCUUUCCCAAGCCAAACACCCAUCCUGUGCCCCGGUUUUGAGGAGAAUUAGGGUAGAAUGCUUGCUUCUGCAUACUGACCCCCAUGAUGUAUUCCUAGCUCAAGGCACCUCCAUAUCUCAUUUAAUGAUUUUGAAGUUGCAGAGCUGUGUACUUGAGAAUUGAAGACCUGGGAACAUGGCUUAGACCACAGAUAGGACCAUCCUAACAGACACCUGAAAAUAUUUUUAUGUUUAGAGCUUUAUAAAGUCCCAUUUAUUAGGUAAAACAUGCGGGCACAGAGCCAGUCCUUUUCCGUCUUAAAACGGAAUCCUUGGUCUAGCACCAACCUGGGUCACCUGCCCUUUCUGGUAAUAUUACACAACUGGACUUGACAUUCAGUUCAGGGAGAAAUUCAAUACUGCAGGCAGAGCAACUGGAGCCUUCCUGCUUAGAGCCAUGUGGCUGCUACUCAGAUUCUGCUGGGUCCUUGAUGCCCUCCGCAGAAAAGAAUUUCAAAAUGAAGCAAAGUCAUCAACUUUACAAGACUCGAUUUAAGAGCCCCAAGGGCAGGCAUCAGGACAGCAGUGUACCUCAGCAUCCAGAGGGAGCUCCACAUGUGACCUUGGGGUUUGAAGCAACCCCAAACACAGCUAACUGUAGAUACUAGGCAAAGCAUAUGAUGGUAUAUUUCUUUUUGUUACCCUCAGAAUUCUAUCUUUGAAGAGGGAUUCUUUUUUCUUUUUUUAAAGGUAUCUGAUAUGGGCUUGCAGUAGAGAAGAGAGUGCUACUACAGAUAGAAACCCUGAUCAAUGGGAUGUUCUUUGUACAUAGGUCACGAGAAGGUUGGACCGCCAUUUUAACAGUCUCGUCUGUGAUGAUUUUCUGGAACAGGAGGGCAGUUCUUUUGCAGGAUUAGUUAUGAAGAAGUUCCUGGGGCUCCAGGAAAGACAAACAUAAGAGCCGGGGGGGAUAAAGGGGACCCUGCCUGCUUCAUGUCCCUCUUACUUUCUAACUAGCUGUCCUACCAGUUCCCUGCUCUAAGACUUUGAUCUUUUAGUUUUUAUUUUUUUAUUUUUUGGUUUUUCGAGACAGGGUUUCUCUGUGUAGCCUUGGCUGUCCUGGAACUCACUUUGUAGACCAGGCUGUCCUGGAACUCAGAAAUCCGCCUGCCUCUGCCUCCCAAGUACUGGGAUUAAAGGCGUGCGCCCCACCAUGCCUAGUAAGACUCUGAUCUUUUAAUCUUAAGAGUUGAUGAUACCUGAUGCUUUUGUGUUUUGCGUAGGGUGUAGCUUCUGCCUCUUCAGGGAUUCUAAUUUUCUUUCUGUCUCUCUGUCUUUGUCUGUAUCUCUGUCUCUGUCUGUCUGUCUGUCUGUCUGUCUCUCUGUGUAUACAUGGAUGAAUGUGUACCCACAGGUAUGUGUGGAGGCCAGAGGCCAAACUUGGCUUUUGUUUCUCAGUAUGCCAUCUAGUCUGUCUGUCUAUCUAUCUGUCAAUCUGUCUGUCUGUCUGCCUGUCUGUCUGUCUGUCUAUCUAUCAGCAGGGUCACUCACUGAAUGUGGAACUCACUAACUUAGCUACCCAGGCUGGCCACUGAGCCCCAGGAAUUUACCUGUCUCUGCUUCCUCUUCUCAAGAAUUACAAAUGCGCACACUACACCCAGCUUAUUUUAUGUAGUUCUGAGAAUCAAAUCCAGCUCCUUAUGCUUGUGCCGCAAGCUCCGUGGGUGUGAAAGUUUUAGCCUGCGGGAUCUAAGGGGACGUGAGAAGGACCAUUCUUUGGGAAUCUGCAAUGAUGGCAUCGUCUGCGAGACUGGAUUGUGUAGACAAUAAGCACAGAGCAGGUUGUUGUGAUUGGCUAGUUUAAUUGUUGACCCCAAAUGAAGAACGUUUUCCACUGCAUUUUUCCUGUGGUAUUUGAGAGCUAUCAUGCUAACCAAUCACUGGAACAAAAGACAGAGUGUGUUGUUGCUUUAAUUUCAGUACGUAAGUUUUGUGAGGUGCAAUAUACAUACCCACCAUUCCACAUUAAAGAUGGCCCAGGUUCCCCUUGCACCCUGUCAAAAUCAGUUUUGUAGGAUGGCUGUCAGCAUCAUUUUAAGUGAUGGUGCAUACACUUGACAUUUGGAGGGCAGAGGCAGGUGGAUAUCUGUGAGUUAAAGGCCAUCAUGAACUACAUAUUAAGUUCUAGGGCAGCCAGGGCUAUGUAGAGAGACUCUGACUC
rnacentral:lncRNA from 1 species